UACGAAGGGGGCUAGCGUUGCUCGGAAUCACUGGGCGUAAAGCGCACGUAGGCGGAUUGUUAAGUCAGGGGUGAAAUCCUGGAGCUCAACUCCAGAACUGCCCUUGAUACUGAAGGUCUUGAGUUCGGGAGAGGUGAGUGGAACUGCGAGUGUAGAGGUGAAAUUCGUAGAUAUUCGCAAGAACACCAGUGGCGAAGGCGGCUCACUGGCCCGAUACUGACGCUGAUGCACGAAAGCGUGGGGAGCAAACAGG
rnacentral:rRNA from 1 species